rnacentral:rRNA from 1 species
GACGAACGCUGGCGGCGUGCUUAACACAUGCAAGUCGAGCGGUAAGGCCCUUUCGGGGGUACGACGAGCGGCGAACGGGUGAGUAACACGUGGGUGACCUGCCCUCCAGCUCUGGGAUAAGCCUGGGAAACCGGGUCUAAUACUGGAUAUGACUCCAUGACGCAUGUUGUGGGGUGGAAAGCCUUGUGCGGCUGAGGAUGGGCCCGCGGCCUAUCAGCUUGUUGGUGGGGUGANGGCCUACCAAGGCGACGACGGGUAGCCGGCCUGAGAGGGCGACCGGCCACACUGGGACUGAGACACGGCCCAGACUCCUACGGGGAGGCAGCAGUGGGGAAUCUUGCGCAAUGGGCGAAAGCCUGACGCGAGCGACGCCGCGUGGAGGG